rnacentral:rRNA from 1 species
CGCGUAGGUGGUAGUGCAAGUCUGGGGUGGAAUCUUAGGGCUUAACCCUAAAACUGCCUUGGAAACUGCAUUACUUGAGUCAGUGAGGGGAGGGUAGAAUUCCUGGUGUAGCGGUGAAAUGCGUAGAUAUCAGGAGGAAGGCCUGUGGCGAAGGCGGCCCUCUGGCGCUGAACUGACACUGAGGCGCGAAAGCGUGGGUAGCAAACAGGAUUAGAUACCCUGGUAGUCCACGCCCUAAACGGUGGGUACUAGGUGUAGGGCUCGUAAGGGUUCUGUGCCGAAGGGAAACCAUUAAGUACCCCGCCUGGGAAGUACGGCCGCAAGGUUGAA